rnacentral:rRNA from 1 species
GACGAACGCUGGCGGCGUGCUUAACACAUGCAAGUCGAACGGUAAGGCCCUUCGGGGUACACGAGUGGCGAACGGGUAAGUAACACGUGGGUGAUCUGCCCUGCACUUCGGGAUAAGCCUGGGAAACUGGGUCUAAUACCGGAUAGGACCCUGGGAUGCAUGUCCUGGUGUGGAAAGCUUUUGCGGUGUGGGAUGGGCCCGCGGCCUAUAAGCUUGUUGGUGGGGUGAUGGUCUACCAAGGCGACGACGGGUAGCCGGCCUGAGAGGGUGACCGGCCACACUGGGACUGAGAUACGGCCCAGACUCCUACGGGAGGCAGCAGUGGGGAAUAUUGCACAAUGGGCGCAAGCCUGAUGCAGCGACGCCGCGUGAGGGAUGACGGCCUUCGGGUUGUAAACCUCUUUCAGCACCGACGAAGCGCAAGUGACGGUAGGUGCAGAAGAAGGACCGGCCAACUACGUGCCAGCAGCCGCAGUAA